GGAGGGGCCUCGUGAACACUCAAUUGCCAUAAGAGUGUGGAGGGCUGCGGUGUGCCCGGGUGCUUGGGAAUGCUGUAGCGUGGAUUCCUACUUGGUCUUCAGGGGGCCGGCACUGAAGAGAGGCUGACCAAAGAGAAAAUCAAAGUCGAGUCCUCAUGGAUGAAUAGGAGUUCCUGGGACGAGGUGAUGGUAGGAAAAGGUGUCAGUGAGCAGGUGAGGAGGGCAUUCCAGGUAGACGGUCCGCAGGAGCCAAGGUUCAAUGGCGACAGAGGAGAAACGCACCAUUUAGAACGUGUAAGCAUAAAGUGAGAAGAAAGGGGAAGUCAGGAGGUGCGAUGCCGAGCUCCGCUAAAGAACAAGUCCUGAGCGCAAUGGGGAGCCACAAAAUGGCUGAAAGCAGCAACAACAAAGACUUGGCUUUCUCACACCUGCUCCCACACGCUGGGCUGCCUGGAGAAAAGUUACCACAGCCACAGCCCGACCCGCGCUCUCUUGCCACAGACCUUUAGAAGACAGCUGCCUGUGUGAUGGACGGCAGUGUGUGGAAGAAAUUUGUGAGGCAGUGACUAGCCGGUGGAUUGCUGAAGCAAAAGGACACGGUACUUACUCUUCAAUAAGCAAAAUUGGUGGGGGAUGUGGUACAGAACGGCAACCAGGGACCUGCUUCUACCUGGC
rnacentral:lncRNA from 1 species